AUCCAGAUGACGAGUCCCAAAUAGGACGAAACUCGUGUCAAACUGGAU
rnacentral:hammerhead_ribozyme from 1 species